UUCUUUUCUUCUUUAUUAAAAGGUGAUUAUACAUUACAUAGAUUUUGGAAACUUUCUUUUUUCUAAUAACAUAUCCAUGAAUAUCUUUCCAUUUAGGAAAUAUUCCCUAGCUUAUUUCCUUUAACAGGUGCAGCUUAUCCACAGAUGGAAACACAAUGAAUUUAUUCCCCUACUAAUGGGCAUUUGUAAUUGUAUCUAUUUUAUUCACCAAUAUAAACAAUGCUGAAAUGAACAUCUUUAUGUCAAUGCUUAAUUCCUAUAGGACAAAUGUCUAGAAUGAAACUCACUAGAUCAAAAGAUAUAUUUGUAUAUUUAUAUGUGUGCAUAUAUAUAGUCAAAUUGCCCUCAAAAAAUGUGUUAUUGGAUUCUACUGCCAGUGAUGUAGGAAUAUAGGUAUCCUUGCCUUUUUGAAAGUUUGCAUUAUGCCUCUUUGCUUUUACAAAAGACCUACUUUAGUAUUUGUUUUUGCUAACAAAAAGAAAUCCAAAGAGGAUUUUCACUUUUACACACACACACAAAAAAAAGGAAGAAAUGAAAAUAGGGUUCAAUGUUUGUUUUUCAGUAAGUCAUUAUAGAGGCAACAGGAAUCCUGAGCAGCCACAGUGGUGCUGCCAAACUCCUUCCCCCAAAAUUAUACUCAGCAUCUCAGCAUCAAGCUGCCACAGCUUUGAACCGUGUCUGUGAGCAUCUGUGCUUUAAUUUUGUGCAUCCGUUAGCAAGAUGUGUCCUAAGGUAUCAGAAGAGCCUCAGAGAGGUAAUUUGGGGGUCUGGGAAUGCUCAAAAAUUUUGCCAUGUAAAUUAGUGGUAACUGCUUCAUUACGCCAUUUUGACGUAUGAAAGUCUACAUAGGAAUGCUCAACUUUUGAACAGCAGGAAAGCCAGCAUUGACAUCCUCAUCAAAACUGGCCAAGAUAAAGAAGAGAUAUGUUCAACUCUUUCAAUUUUGAAUUAUGUCUAGACGAUUUCCUAGGCUUUACUUACAAAUCACUCAUUUACUUUUUAGCUUUGUCCUUACUGCCAUUCUGGAGUGCAAACCUUAUCUUAGGGAGGGGUGUGCGUGGGUAUGUGUGUGUGCUGUCCAUGUUGAGAGAGAAAGAGCAUACACACAAAGAGAGAAUGCUUUUUCAUAAAAACCUGUUGUUAUGGGCACAAUAUCCUUUUUCACUUCUCUAUGGUUAAUAAUUAUAAAUAAUUUUGAGAACUUGUGUUCGAUUUUGGCAAACUCUUUCCUUUGAGAUAGGCAUUUCUCUUGCUUCAUAAUGUUGAUGUUCCGUAUAUAUGGUGAUUCUUUAUUGACCAUUUAUAUCUAUACACACAGGUCUUGACCUAGCAUGGAGAUCAGCAGCAGCUAUGUAAUUCUCUUUCAGUGUGAGAACUCUCUCUGGAAUGGGAGCACUAAUUCUAGGACUCAGUGAUGGAGAGAUAAGUGAUGCCUAUAGCCCUUUAGGCAAAGUAUGUGUGGAAGUGUUAGACAAGUUGGGGACCUUGGACAUAACAGUAAGACUCAUGAUCUUAGACACUUGAUAAAAUAUAAUCAGAUUCUUUGUUCAUAGCUUACUUUGGAGAGAAUAAAUUUACCAUGGUUACCCUUUGUUGUUUUAUUAUAGAUACACAACUAAAUAACAAAGGAGAAAGAAAAUAAUACCUACUUUUUCCCAAUGAAACCUUUCAACUGAAUGAUAUAGGGAUAUAUAUAUCCCUAUUGCUGUUGAAAUACAUGGCAUCUUUUUAAUGUGUUGGAUGUUUGUUAGUACAGUGUUGUGUACUAAUGGAUAAUAAUAGUAGCAACUACACUUAUUUCUUUCACAGCAGUUAUCAUAAUCUGUAUUAAUUGUGUAUAUUUGUCUGGUUGAAUAUUUAUUGCCCAUCUCUGCCAGUACUUUGUGGCAGGCAGAACCAUAUCUCUCUUACUAAGCAUCAUAGAUACAAAAGUCAAGAAAAUAGACAUUGCCUUGGCUGCCAUUUUUAUACUACUAUGUCCUCGUUGCUCAAAGGAAAGAUGGUUACUAUGAUAUUAUCUGACUUCCUGGCUGCACAAAUGUGACUAAUCUCUUAGAAGAACACUGUUCAUGUGAAGUAGAACAAUGCCCAUAUGUUCAUCAUUAAAAACUAGAGUGUGUUGUUGUUGUUAUAUAAAUAUCUGGUUGACUGUAAUGGAGUCCCAAAAGCUGCUGAUAAAUAGGUACGUGUGAGGAAGUAAACACAACCAGCAUUAGGAAUAACAUUGUCAUUUUCUCCAUGCCCCAAAAUAGAAUGGUUUCCUGAGAUAGGGAAAACCAUAUUUGUCAGACAUGAAAUUUAUGUUCCUUUGAAAGGGGCACCUGACAUUGUAAUGAAAGUCACAAAAGCAUGUAAAGAGGUCUAGAAGAAAACAAAAUGUUCCAAAGUGUAGAAAUAAUUGAUGGAAUCAUAAUAAUGCUGAUUUUAAUAACAAUCAAUCUAUGAAUGGCCUGCCAACUUCACUCUUUACCACAUUGUACUCUUAUUUAUGAUGAUUCUAAUGUAAUUGGAAGUAAUUUUAAAUUGCAAAUGCAUGUAGUACUUGGAUAACAGAAAUUCCUUUUGGGUGGCUGGGUCACCAUUGUGUCUGACUGUGUCUUCCCAAGCUUUGAAAAGGACACAUCACACACUGUGUGGAUGUGGCGGUGAGGCAAACCAGAGGGUCCUCUGCAGCUGUCAAGGAGAUCAACAAUGCCAGCUCAUAUUCUGCAGUCAUAAUUUAGUAAAAUGAUCCUGACCAACACUCAAAUUUAUUUUGAUGAGGAAAAGCGCAAAGUACAUACUCAAGCCUCUCUGAUGAAGUCUUUAGCACACAAUGGAUUCUUCUCCAUGAGACAGAUGGCCUCACCCUUGGCUACCUGUCCCAGUUAGUUGAUGGUAUUUCCAAAUGAGCUACCUGGCUGUUGAGUCUUGUGUGGGUAUGCACAUGCAGAGCCAUCAGCUAGGUAUUGGCACAGAAUAGAAAGCUUUUGCAUUCAGAAAACUCCUAGCUCAUUCCCUGUACCUUCAGCAUCAAAAUUGCAUCAAGAAUUAUCAAGAAUAAUGGCACACACAUUUCACUCAUAGUAUAAAUGGUGAAGCUGAGAGAAUGAGUCUUCAACAAAUGAAAUCUUGUACUGUCAGAGCUUGAGUAAUAUUUAAGAAAAUAUUCCUCAACACAAAUACUCUUGUCUAUUCUUCUUCUCUUGCAAGGUGGGAACCAAUGGAAGAAUGUAGUUAAAAUAUUUCAUUGUAAGAAUAAAGCGUGCUAUGUGCUGUUGUAGGAAGAUUGGAUUAUUUCUUUUGAUCACCGAAAGUCCUUUUCCCAUUAAUCAUAAGAUUAGUAAUAGUUAUUGUAACUGUCAUAAGAAGACGCAUCUUAAUUGAACACCUGUUAUACUGAACCACUCUCACAUACAUUAUCUCAGUUAAUUCAUGAAAGUUCUGUUAAUAAAUGUCCAGAUUUCAUUAAUAUCACCAUUGUAUGGAUGAGAUAAACUGAGACAUGUAGACAGGAGCCUCUGGCUCAGGAAUACAUGGUUUGUGAGUAGAGAGGUCAAAUUGCAACCCAGAUCAGAUCUUCUGAAAUCUGUAUCAUUAGCUCUCAACUAGUACUCAGUGCUAUCUUGGUGGUUUCCAUCCUGGGCUCAUAUUUUAAAACAAAACUCAUGGAAACCUCAGGUGGAUUUGCUGGUCAUCGAUAGUUACACCUUCCCUUUCAUUACUGUCCAACUUUGCAGUUUCCAAAGCCAACUUUAAAAGGGAAUUGUGGAAUGUUUGUACUGUAGAAUAUAAUUGUAUUUUUUUAAAAGUGACUCAAAUGUAUGGUUUAAUAAGAAAAAAAAUGAAGCCAUCUGUGAAGAUAAAAAGUUAUCUCUUCUUUUUGUGUCCACAUACCCCAAAUCUGCAAUGCCAACAUAAAGUCUGUUCCUCUGUUUUCAUAGCUCAAGUACAUGUAAGUCUGGGUUUUUACAUUCCACCUUGAAUCAAUCAAGCAAGCAAUAUUCUCUCCCUCUCACUCUUUUUUCCCCUCUCUAAUUUUCUUUUUCCUAGGGAACCCCUGAGAUGAUCUUUUAAGUACUGUUGGGAGGAAAUGCAUUUUCAAUAUCUCAGUGGUUGGUACUGCCAGUUCAUUGAUACGUUGGUAAUUCUUUUUCAGAGAAUUUUCGUUCCUACCUUCUACUUAUGAGCUUCUACCUGGUCCCAGAGCUUACAAAAGUAUUGUGAAAACACAAAAGCCUUUUUAAAUUGAAAUCUUCAAAACGUUUUAAUUCUAAACAUCAUCUAAACAACAUAUAGUUCAGGUAAUUCAUGACAGAUAGGUACACAGUAGUCUGUGAUAGGUGAUCAAAAAACGAAAAAGCUGUGUCCCUGUUGCUAACUACAGGGUACAUUUGCCUUUCUAAAAAUGGCUAAGGGUUAUAGAGGGAAUGGAACACAACAGCUGGAUAAGAGCACCCAUUAGGAUUUUCAACAGAGUGUUAUGAUUGGUUAACCCACUUGUAGAACCAGAUAAUAUCAGCUGGUGGAAUGCGAUAACCUGAGUUCUAAUCUAGCAUGACCAUCAGUAGUAGUAUUACCUUGAGCAAGUCACUUUCCACCUUUUAGCAUCAAAUUUCCUCAUCUAUAAAAUGGGAAUAAUAAAUCUAUGUUUCUCAUACAAUUGAUGUAAAGAUUAAACAAGAUAAUGCAUUAAAGCAUUUAGAAUAGUUCCUGACUCAUAAUAAGACUUGGAAUUUAUUGAUCACUUACUACUAUUUGCCACAGUCCACUUAUCCAUCCCAUGACAAACGAUAUCUUUAUAAGGACACAUUGAGUAUAUGCAUGUGAGAAGUGUAGGGCAACUCCUUAUUAAAUGCCUAAGCAAUGCAACUUCAUGCUUUAAUAGCCAAAAAAAAAACAGGUUUUAUGUAGAGCCUCUGACUUUUCUUAUCCUUAAUGUUUUAGAUUAGAGAUGGAAAAGUCUGCUAUCUUGGGUGAAUAAUGAUGCAUGUCUUUAUGACUUAAGUGUUUAAAGGAGCUGUAGCACAUUUGUUAAGAUUUAUUUCCUCUCAGGCAUCAUAGCCCAAAGGUUGCUGCAUGUUUAUGUGGAGGGCCUAUUUUCUCCAGGUAGUUCUGUACAGCAGUCACUUUGAUUGAGCGAGGGCUUUAAAAAUGGAAACGUGUUUACAGAGUAGAAAAGGGAGGCAAGUCUUGGCAUAAGUGGGACUUGAUGAGUUUCUAUGGUAACUUCAUUCAGUAUCACAAGGGCCAAUCUCAUGGAAUGAGGUGAUGUUCAGAGAUGUGUUCUGGAAUUUUCUUGAAGGACAACCUAACUAUUAAGAUUAAGAAAAAAGUACAAUUUGUCCAUCACUUAACUUUGCUGGAACUCUGGAGCCAUUAAAAGGAACUGGUACAUUAUAUAUUAAAGAUAUUAGAUAUUAAAGAUAUUAGACAUUAACUUAGAUAUUAAACCUUAACAAGUGAAGCUUAAGACCUGUUGGUACAUGAGAGAUCUCUCAGCUUAGAAGCCCCACUUCCCAUUUGCCAAAGACCUGUUGAAAUUCUGAGGAAAGAGACAAAGCCAGAUUCCAGAACACUCCCAGUCUCAUCACCAGAUUCCUACUUGUUGAAAAAUCUGUUGUCAAAUGUCUUAGAACAUGUCGUCAGACACAUGUAACAAAAAGGAUACCUAGAGCAUGGCGGUAGUGGUAUCUCAGCUUUAAUUUUUUCAUUUGCUACUUUGCUAUUGAGCUUUAGUGAUGUGUUCUCUGCUAACCUCAGAGCCAAUUGACUCAGGUGUACUACAGGGUACCAAGAAACAAAGUUUGAUUUCUUUAAGUCUGCUGUUUUAAAUCAAAUGGCACGUUCAAGAGAAGGAAGUAAACAGAGCCAGACAUGGAAGUGGAGGCCUGAGGAAGCCACACUGUGUCUUCCAUCAGCAGACAUUUUACCUGGUGAAGAUCAGUUUAAAGUGAAUAGCGUGAAUGACCAUGGAGCUGAGAACAUGGGCCAAGAGUUUUCUGUUGUAUCCCAUUUCUUCAGUCCUCUUGUGCUGCCCAACCACCAAUAACCCCCACCAAAUAUUAAUCCUUUAUUUCAUCUUA